GACGAACGCUGGCGGCGUGCUUAACACAUGCAAGUCGAACGGAAAGGCCUCUUUCGGGGGGUACUCGAGUGGCGAACGGGUGAGUAACACGUGAGUAACCUGCCCUUGACUUUGGGAUAACUUCAGGAAACUGGGGCUAAUACCGGAUAGGAGCUCCUGCUGCCUGGUGGGGGUUGGAAAGUUUCGGCGGUUGGGGAUGGACUCGCGGCUUAUCAGCUUGUUGGUGGGGUAGUGGCUUACCAAGGCUUUGACGGGUAGCCGGCCUGAGAGGGUGACCGGCCACAUUGGGACUGAGAUACGGCCCAGACUCCUACGGGAGGCAGCAGUGGGGAAUAUUGCACAAUGGGUGGAAGCCUGAUGCAGCAACGCCGGGUGCGGGAUGACGGCCUUCGGGUUGUAAACCGCUUUCGCUCAUGACGAAGCUUUGUGUGACGGUAGUGGGUAAAGAAGCACCGGCUAACUACGUG
rnacentral:rRNA from 1 species